rnacentral:rRNA from 1 species
GGCGGGACACGUGGUAUCCUGUCUGAAUAUGGGGGGACCAUCCUCCAAGGCUAAAUACUCCUGACUGACCGAUAGUGAACCAGUACCGUGAGGGAAAGGCGAAAAGAACCCCGGCGAGGGGAGUGAAAAAGAACCUGAAACCGUGUACGUACAAGCAGUGGGAGCACGCUUAGGCGUGUGACUGCGUACCUUUUGUAUAAUGGGUCAGCGACUUAUAUUCUGUAGCAAGGUUAACCGAAUAGGGGAGCCGAAGGGAAACCGAGUCUUAACUGGGCGUUAAGUUGCAGGGUAUAGACCCGAAACCCGGUGAUCUAGCCAUGGGCAGGUUGAAGGUUGGGUAACACUAACUGGAGGACCGAACCGACUAAUGUUGAAAAAUUAGCGGAUGACUUGUGGCUGGGGGUGAAAGGCCAAUCAAACCGGGAGAUAGCUGGUUCUCCCCGAAAGCUAUUUAGGUAGCGCCUCGUGAAUUCAUCUCCGGGGGUAGAGCACUGUUUCGGCAAGGGGGUCAUCCCGACUUACCAACCCGAUGCAAACUGCGAAUACCGGAGAAUGUUAUCACGGGAGACACACGGCGGGUGCUAACGUCCGUCGUGAAGAGGGAAACAACCCAGACCGCCAGCUAAGGUCCCAAAGUCAUGGUUAAGUGGGAAACGAUGUGGGAAGGCCCAGACAGCCAGGAUGUUGGCUUAGAAGCAGCCAUCAUUUAAAGAAAGCGUAAUAGCUCACUGGUCGAGUCGGCCUGCGCGGAAGAUGUAACGGGGCUAAACCAUGCACCGAAGCUGCGGCAGCGACGCUUAUGCGUUGUUGGGUAGGGGAGCGUUCUGUAAGCCUGUGAAGGUGUGCUGUGAGGCAUGCUGGAGGUAUCAGAAGUGCGAAUGCUGACAUAAGUAACGAUAAAGCGGGUGAAAAGCCCGCUCGCCGGAAGACCAAGGGUUCCUGUCCAACGUUAAUCGGGGCAGGGUGAGUCGACCCCUAAGGCGAGGCCGAAAGGCGUAGUCGAUGGGAAACAGGUUAAUAUUCCUGUACUUGGUGUUA